rnacentral:snRNA from 1 species
AGAAUAUAUUGAAGUCAUGUCACUAAAACAGAAAUGACACAGUGAAGACACACAUGGUUCCAGUAGAAGGACGACACGGACAUUCAUGACGUGUUCCACACAUGU